rnacentral:lncRNA from 1 species
GAUAAAGCUGUUUCAGAAUGGUGCAAUUAGUAAGGAGAUGGUGACACCGCAAACAGCUGCUUUAAUAGGAUGAUGGCAGGGUAGGGAGCAAAAGCAAAGGCAUCAACUUUCUUUCUUUGGCAGCAAGAGGAGAGCGACAACUGCCACUGAAAGAGUACCCGCAAAGAUAGAAAUGUCCUCGGGUUGGGAGCAAACUGAACACGUAUGUGGGCCAGGGGAGAAGGCAAGAUGGAGGAUAUGAGAAAGAAAAAGGCUGAUUGAUGGAGCAAGACACUCAAAGUGAAGAGCUCAAACCCAGAGGUUUAACAGGUUGGGAUCUGAAAAUCAGAGAAGGCAGAGGGACAGCAAAGUUGAUUUGGAAGUGCCCCAGGGAGAGGCUGGUGUGACAUAUCCUUUGCUUUCCACAUGGGUUGGUGAUCCUUGCCACUUAGAAGCCUCAGACAGCAGACAGUCCACCUCAGCCCCCUGAGGGAUGACGCUAGCUCUUCCAACUUCUGAAGUUGAAUCAGGUCUUGGGAGUUUCUGGAUUUGUUUCCCAGACUCAAGGGGAUUCCCAGCAAAUCAGCCAGCGCUUCCCUUCUAUUCCAGUCUGAUUGGACAUAAUUUCUCGAGUGCCUCCAACCUCCCAGUUCCUUGAGGAGGCUUUCAAAUGUAUCGAGAUUAGCCUUCCCUACCAUACCCACACUGCUGGAGACCUCCAGGGGAUACACUUCUGCACCCCAGGUCCCUGAAAUUCACCCUUCCUUCUAGGCAGUUGCAAUGGAACGGAGGUAGUGGAGGAAGAAGAGAUCACGUGAGCAGAAAGAGAACCCUCGAAUCAGUCAAUGUCCCUUCUUCAGAUGAAGCCAGGGAGAUGGGGGUGGGUUUCUAGUCAAAAGGCAAAUGUCAGUGUCCCCUGCAAUUUGGACUGGCUGGGGAAAAGCAAGUGCUUCACCAUUGUCAUCCUACUCCGGCUCAAAAUUCAGGGAGCAGAGGAUAAGACCUCACAGAGCUAAAAAUCUUGAG